rnacentral:rRNA from 1 species
CUGGCUCAGAUUGAACGCUGGCGGCAUGCUUUACACAUGCAAGUCGAACGGUAACAGGUUAAGCUGACGAGUGGCGAACGGGUGAGUAAUGCAUCGGAACGUGCCCGGUCGUGGGGGAUAACGCAGCGAAAGCUGCGCUAAUACCGCAUACGAUCUGAGGAUGAAAGCGGGGGACCGUAAGGCCUCGCGCGAUCGGAGCGGCCGAUGUCAGAUUAGGUAGUUGGUGGGGUAAAGGCUCACCAAGCCGACGAUCUGUAGCUGGUCUGAGAGGACGACCAGCCACACUGGGACUGAGACACGGCCCAGACUCCUACGGGAGGCAGCAGUGGGGAAUUUUGGACAAUGGGCGCAAGCCUGACCCAGCAAUGCCGCGUGCAGGAAGAAGGCCUUCGGGUUGUAAACUGCUUUUGUACGGAGCGAAAAGGUCUUCCCUAAUACGGGAGGCUGAUGACGGUACCGUAAGAAUAAGCACCGGCUAACUACGUGCCAGCAGCCGCGGUAAUACGUAGGGUGCGAGCGUUAAUCGGAAUUACUGGGCGUAAAGCGUGCGCAGGCGGUUUUGUAAGACAGGCGUGAAAUCCCCGGGCUCAACCUGGGAAUGGCGCUUGUGACUGCAAAGCUGGAGUGCGGCAGAGGGGGA